UAUACUAUUCACCUUGUAGUAUAAAGCAGUAUGAAAGUGUCCAGAUGAAGAUGAUGAUGAAGGUCAUGUUGAUGAAGAUUGUUGUGUGUGUCAGUGAUGAAGUGUUAAACUCACAGCACUAUAAACACUCUCAGAGCACUGAAGCAUCUGAUCAAUAUGCAAACACACUCCACAUCAUUUACCUGAAGACAGGAGAUAUACACAGUUGAUACUGAUAUAUACUGAUACUCUAUAACAGGUCAAAGGUCAUCUAAUAGGCAAUGACGAUCUAAAUCUGGUUAAAGAUUUCAUUAUAGAGCAGGUAAACAGAAUUAGCAGAGUUCAAAAUCGUGUGUACUGAAAAUCUAAUGAAUGCAUUUUGGGAAUGAUUAUGAAACAAAUGAUUUGCCUUCAUGCAAUAUAUAUUUUUUUUAAUUAUUAUUAUUUUUAUAGAUGAAUGUUUUGUGCAAUUUUUACAUGAGUCCAUCGCUGCUGUUGAGUCUGAUAUCAGUGUGUGAGUCUCUUCUCUCUUUCUCUGCUGGAGUUUGUGUUUAUUUGAGCGUGACGGAGGUUUUUGUACGACGCUUUCACUAGAAUGAAGCACUGUGGUACACUUUUGGUGGAGGAACUAAACUGACGAUCGCUGGUCCGGCAGUGAAGCCCUCCGUGUCUCUGCUGCCUCCCUCUUCUCUGCAGAUCUCUGGAGACUCAGCCGCACUGCUCUGCCUGCUCAGCUCUUACUCUCCACAGGGGGCGCAGGUGAGCUGGACGCUGGACGGGUCAAAGGUCACCGAGGGGGUUCAGACCAGCGCAGAGAGCGAGCGGGACGGACGCUACAGCCGCAGCAGCGUCCUGAGCCUCAGCAAAGCACGCUGGGAAAGCCGGCGAGCGCUUCGUCUGCAGAGUAACACAUGACGGAGCUGAUCACGAGACCUCGUUCCUCAAGAGCUCCGAGUGCUGAUGUUUCUCCAGUGAAGAGCAGCAGGAUUCACAGCAGUCUCCUGAUUUACAGCUCAAUACUCAAGCAGUCUUUCAAUGUGCUGCCAUUGCUGUUAAUUCAAUAAAGCUUCUGAACGCCUUA